UUAGAUACCCUAGUACACUUAAAUUUAAUUAGAAACAUUAGAAUAUUAAAAGUUAUGUUCUUUAAAUUUAAAAAAUUUGGCGGUGUUUUAGUCUAGUUAGAGGAACCUGUUUUAUAAACGAUACAACACGCAUUAUUUUACUUAUUUUAGUAGAUCAGCUUGUAUACCGUCAUUAUAAGAUAAUUUAAGAGAGAAUAUUAUUGAGAUCGUAUUGUCGAGUAUAUUAGAUCAAGGUGCAGCUUAUGAGUAAGGAAAUAUGGGUUACAAUAAAAUUUAUUUAAUAUGAAUUAAGUGUUUAAAUAUAUUUAUGAAGGAGGAUUUAAUUGUAAGGAGGGAGCAGUGAGCUUUUCUGAUAGAAGCUCUAAAUUAUGUACAUAUCGCCCGUCGCU
rnacentral:rRNA from 1 species